GCGGCCAUGGUGUAACGGCAACACUUCUGCCUUCCAAGCAGACAUCGGGGGUUCGAAUCCCCCUGGCCGCU
rnacentral:tRNA from 2 species